rnacentral:rRNA from 1 species
GCAGGCCUAACACAUGCAAGUCGAGCGGAUGAGUGGAGCUUGCUCCAUGAUUCAGCGGCGGACGGGUGAGUAAUGCCUAGGAAUCUGCCUGGUAGUGGGGGAUAACGUUUCGAAAGGAACGCUAAUACCGCAUACUUCCUACGGGAGAAAGUGGGGGAUCUUCGGACCUCACGCUAUCAGAUGAGCCUAGGUCGGAUUAUCUAGUUGGUGGGGUAAUGGCCCACCAAGGCGACGAUCCGUAACUGGUCUGAGAGGAUGAUCAGUCACACUGGAACUGAGACACGGUCCAGACUCCUACGGGAGGCAGCAGUGGGGAAUAUUGGACGAUGGGCGAAAGCCUGAUCCAGCCAUGCCGCGUGUGUGAAGAAGGUCUUCGGAUUGUAAAGCACUUUAAGUUGGGAGGAAGGGCAGUAAGUUAAUACCUUGCUGUUUUGACGUUACCAACAGAAUAAGCACCGGCUAACUUCGUGCCAGCAGCCGCGGUAAUACGAAGGGUGCAAGCGUUAAUCGGAAUUACUGGGCGUAAAGCGCGCGUAGGUGGUUCAGCAAGUUGGAUGUGAAAGCCCCGGGCUCAACCUGGGAAUUGCAUCCAAAACUACUGAGCUAGAGUACGGUAGAGGGUGGUGGAAUUUCCUGUGUAGCGGUGAAAUGCGUAGAUAUAGGAAGGAACACCAGUGGCGAAGGCGACCACCUGCACUGAUACUGACACUGAGGUGCGAAAGCGUGGGGAGCAAACAGGAUUAGAUACGCUGGUAGUCCACG